UCUGUCAGUGUAAUCUGCACCUCCACCAGGCUAAACAAUUCUUCUUCAUAGUAUGAGUCAGGAUCUGGAGUAUCUCGAAACCACAGGGUGCAAUGUAGUUGGGUCUCGGGUUGUUCAUCAUGUGGAAUUGUGGGCUUUUCAAUUUGUAGUUCCAUGUAAACAUCAGGAUGUAUAUGCAAACUGUACCAGUAUUGUGGAACUCCCCCCUUGGGAAGUGGCAGAAGAGUGGCCGGA